rnacentral:rRNA from 1 species
GAGUUUGAUCGUGGCUCAGGAUGAACGCUGGCGGCGUGCCUAAUACAUGCAAGUCGAGCGAACGGACGAGAAGCUUGCUUCUCUGAUGUUAGCGGCGGACGGGUGAGUAACACGUGGAUAACCUACCUAUAAGACUGGGAUAACUUCGGGAAACCGGAGCUAAUACCGGAUAAUAUUUUGAACCGCAUGGUUCAAAAGUGAAAGACGGUCUUGCUGUCACUUAUAGAUGGAUCCGCGCUGCAUUAGCUAGUUGGUAAGGUAACGGCUUACCAAGGCAACGAUGCAUAGCCGACCUGAGAGGGUGAUCGGCCACACUGGAACUGAGACACGGUCCAGACUCCUACGGGAGGCAGCAGUAGGGAAUCUUCCGCAAUGGGCGAAAGCCUGACGGAGCAACGCCGCGUGAGUGAUGAAGGUCUUCGGAUCGUAAAACUCUGUUAUUAGGGAGAACAUAUGUGUAAGUAACUGUGCACAUCUUGACGGUACCUAAUCAGAAAGCCACGGCUAACUACGUCG